rnacentral:rRNA from 1 species
CCGGUAACUACGUGCCAGCAGCCGCGGUAAUACGUAGGUGGCAAGCGUUGUCCGGAUUAUUGGGCGUAAAGCGAGCGCAGGCGGAAUGAUAAGUCUGAUGUGAAAGCCCACGGCUCAACCGUGGAACUGCAUCGGAAACUGUCAUUCUUGAGUGCAGAAGAGGAGAGUGGAACUCCAUGUGUAGCGGUGGAAUGCGUAGAUAUAUGGAAGAACACCAGUGGCGAAGGCGGCUCUCUGGUCUGCAACUGACGCUGAGGCUCGAAAGCAUGGGUAGCAAACAGGAUUAGAUACCCUGGUAGUCCACGCCGUAAACGAUGUCGACUAGCCGUUGGGCUCCUUGAGAGCUUAGUGGCGCAGCUAACGCAUUAAGUCGACCGCCUGGGGAGUACGGCCGCAAGGUUAAAACUCAAAUGAAUUGACGGGGGCCCGCACAAGCGGUGGAGCAUGUGGUUUAAUUCGAAGCAACGCGAAGAACCUUACCAGGCCUUGACAUGCUGAGAACCUGCGGUCGACGCGGCCG